rnacentral:lncRNA from 10 species
AAAAAAAAAAUACCCAAGAUGGGUAAUUUAUAAAGGAAAGAGGUUUAAUGGACUCACAGUUGCAUAUGGCUGGGAAGGCCUCACAAUUAUGGCAGAAGUCAAAGGAGGAGCAAAGUCAUGUCUCACAUGGAGGCAGGCAAGGAGCUUAUGCAGGGAACUCCCCUUUAUAAAACCAUCAGAUCUCAUGAGACUUCUCAUUAUCAGGAGAACAGCACAAGAAAAACCCACCCCCAUGACUUGAUUACCUCCCACAACACGUGGGAAUCAUGGGAGCUACAAUUCAAGAAGAGAUUUGGGUGGAGACACAGCCAAACCACGUCACCAGACUGCCUCUUCAGGGAGUGAAUCACAAAUGUAUUCCUGACCACCCUGUUUUCUCCCCUCUUGAAUCAGAGAUGGGGGUCGCCUAUAUUUCCAAGGCUGGUCUCCAACGCCUGGGCUCAAAAGAUCCUCUGCCUUGGCCUCUCAAAGUGCUGGGAUUACAGGUGAGCACCACCAUGCCUGGCCUAAAAUGUUCUUUUUUUAAGAGAUAGCUGUAACAAUCUUUAACUAUUUAGCAAUCCUUUUUUGGGGGAAAGGUUGUCUCUUGUUUGUCAGCAAAUGUAGUAUGUGAGUUUACAUGUCUUUGCUUUCAUUGUAUAAUUUCAAAUAGUCAGAAAAUAUUGCAUUCACUGGCAAUCAAUUUAUUUUGAUUGAUAAAAAGGGGUUAAUAAAAACCCCCUUAGAAAUAAAAAGAAGGUGAAUAGUAAUAUAUCAGUCAUGGUGCCUUCUUUCUGCUAUGCAUAAAGAAAACAAGCUUUUUUACUUCUCCCCAAUAAGUCUUCUCCCCUUAUUUUCUACACCUAUGGAGUCAUUUAUAAUCUUUAUUAUUUCCAACCACACACUAACAUGGCAUCAGUCAUAUUUCCACAUGCUGGGGGUUUUUUUUUUUUCCUUACUAUGUUGUGAGAACUGAAAGGCAAAAAUGUCCUAUAAUUUAUAUGAAAAUACAUGUCCAAAAUGGAUUAUCAGACAUAACUGAUGUGACUUCAUACACUUGAAAAUAAAAAAACUUAGGAUGAAAUAUAAAACAUCAUGGUAAAAUUUCAAUCUAUUGUUGAAAUAAAACAUGACUUAGAAAGGACACUGGUGUGUGGCAUUUAACAAACAUUGUCAAGCUCUUAGAAGCAGGGGUAGGUUAAGAUGGGAGAUAGUACUUUCCAUUCAAACAUAAAACUAUUGACUUUGGAAGGUACAUUUGUGGUUUAUUAAUAUUUUUAUUUAUCAACAGCACCUUUGAAGAAAAUGCAAAAUGACUAUAAAAUUCUUACCUUCUGUAUAUAGCGAGUGUUUAGAGUACCAUUGUGAGACAGACUUGGGCAUAUACGUUAUACAGUGUCAUAUAGAUCUCUAAUUUGCACUGGUCAUAAAGUCUUUU